rnacentral:rRNA from 1 species
CCUACGGGAGGCAGCAGUGAGGAAUAUUGGUCAAUGGCCGUAAGGCUGAACCAGCCAAGUCGCGUGAAGGAAGAAGGAUCUAUGGUUUGUAAACUUCUUUUAUAGGGGAAUAAAGGUAUCCACGUGUGGAUAUUUGCAUGUACCCUAUGAAUAAGCAUCGGCUAACUCCGUGCCAGCAGCCGCGGUAAUACGGAGGAUGCGAGCGUUAUCCGGAUUUAUUGGGUUUAAAGGGUGCGUAGGUUGUUUUUUAAGUCAGCGGUGAAAGUUUGUGGCUCAACCAUAAAAUUGCCGUUGAAACUGGAAGACGUGAGUGUGUUUGAGGUAUGCGGAAUGCGUGGUGUAGCGGUGAAAUGCAUAGAUAUCACGCAGAACUCCGAUUGCGAAGGCAGCUUACUAAGCCAUAACUGACACUGAAGCACGAAAGCGUGGGGAUCAAACAGGAUUAGAUACCCCGGUAGUC